UAGCGGCAGGCUUAACACAUGCAAGUCGAGGGGUAUAGGUUUUCGGACCUAGAGACCGGCGCACGGGUGCGUAACGCGUAUGCAAUCUACCUUUUACAGAGGGAUAGCCCAGAGAAAUUUGGAUUAAUACCUCAUAGUAUUAUUGAAUGGCAUCAUUUAAUAAUUAAAGUCACAACGGUAAAAGAUGAGCAUGCGUCCCAUUAGCUUGUUGGUAAGGUAACGGCUUACCAAGGCAACGAUGGGUAGGGGUCCUGAGAGGGAGAUCCCCCACACUGGUACUGAGACACGGACCAGACUCCUACGGGAGGCAGCAGUGAGGAAUAUUGGUCAAUGGGCGCAAGCCUGAACCAGCCAUGCCGCGUGCAGGAUGACGGUCCUAUGGAUUGUAAACUGCUUUUGUACAGGAAGAAACAUCUCUACGUGUAGAGACUUGACGGUACUGUAAGAAUAAGGAUCGGCUAACUCCGUGCCAGCAGCCGCGGUAAUACGGAGGAUCCAAGCGUUAUCCGGAAUCAUUGGGUUUAAAGGGUCCGUAGGCGGUUUUGUAAGUCAGUGGUGAAAGCCCAUCGCUCAACGGUGGAACGGCCAUUGAUACUGCAAGACUUGAAUUAUUAGGAAGUAACUA
rnacentral:rRNA from 1 species